rnacentral:misc_RNA from 1 species
GAUGAAGAACGUAGCGAAAUGCGAUAAGUAGUGUGAAUUGCAGAAUUCAGUGAAUCAUCGAAUCUUUGAACGCACAUUGCGCCCCCUGGUACUCCGGGGAGCAUGCCCGUUUCAGAAUCAUUAAACAUCUCACUGUCCGUUGGCGAAAGCUCAGCGGAAUUGGUGGAGUUUGGAGGUGUUUGUGCUCUCAUGUGUGCAAUCCUCUGAAAGUGAUUGUGCGUGCGGUCGUCCUGCUCGAUUGGCUUCAAAGUGCAACAGAGUUAUAUCUUUUCACAGAGAGGCUAAUCAUUGUGUGGCAACAGCAUGUCUCAUCAAAUAACAUACACAGCUGGGUGAUGGAUGUCACUCAACUUGUUACUUGGUCUGAAAUCGGGCAAGAAAACCCGCUGAACUUAAGCAUAUCAAUAAGCGGAGGA